CUUGGUCAUUUAGAGGAAGUAAAAGUCGUAACAAGGUUUCCGUAGGUGAACCUGCGGAAGGAUCAUUACUGAAGCAGUUAGGGUUGUAGCUGACUCUGUCGAAGGAGUACUGUGCUCGCUCUAUUCUUCUACUUUUCCCCCUGUGCACCUUUUGUAGGCUAUGAUACCUAUCGCGUGUGAGGCUCUGUCCUCAUUACCGGUUUCAAGGGAUUGCUUGUUAUCGUUUAUUCGAUUUCGGGCUGCCUUUGCCCUUCAUAUGCCUAUGUCUUUAUACACUCUUUUAAACAAGUCUAGAAUGUCUUUUGUGGGUCUAUUGACCUAUAAACUUAAUACAACUUUCAACAACGGAUCUCUUGGCUCUCGCAUCGAUGAAGAACGCAGCGAAAUGCGAUAAGUAAUGUGAAUUGCAGAAUUCAGUGAAUCAUCGAAUCUUUGAACGCACCUUGCGCCCUUUGGUAUUCCGAAGGGCGUGCCUGUUUGAGUGUCAUUAAAUUCUCAAACCUUGAUCAGUUUUGCGCUGACUUCAAGGCUUUGGAUGUGGGAGUCUUCUGCUGGUACUCUUUUGGAUCAGCUCUCCUUAAAUGCAUUAGCGGUUACUUGAUCCCCUUUCCUUGGUGUGAUAAUUAUCUACGCCUUUGAAAUGAUCAGCAUUGUAUCAGCUUCUAACUGUCCAUUGACUUGGACAACUACUUAAUUGACCAUUUGACCUCAAAUCAGGUAGGACUACCCGCUGAACUUAAGCAUAUCAAUAAGCGGAGGA
rnacentral:rRNA from 1 species